AAACUACUUUGCUUACCACAGGCUGUGUUCUUUACACUGACUGUAUAGAAAGAGGAGAUACAGUAAAUGCUGCCCAUAUAGACCUCAAAAAGAACCUUUGUCUGGUUUAUAUUGUGAAUGAGGGAACAGAA